rnacentral:rRNA from 1 species
AGCGAACGCUGGCGGCAUGCUUAACACAUGCAAGUCGCACGGUCAGCAAUGGCAGUGGCGGACGGGUGAGUAACACGUAGGAAUCUAUCCUGGGGUGGGGGGACAACAGCGGGAAACUGCUGCUAAUACCGCAUGAUGCCUGAGGGCCAAAGACGAAAGUCGUUUGAGGAGGAGCCUGCGUCUGAUUAGGUAGUUGGUGGGGUAAAGGCCUACCCAAGGCGACGAUCAGUAGCUGGUCUGAGAGGAUGAUCAGCCACAUUGGGACUGAGACACGGCCCAAACUCCUACGGGAGGCAGCAGUGGGGAAUAUUGGACAAUGGGCGAAAGCCUGAUCCAGCAAUGCCGCGUGGGUGAAGAAGGUCUUCGGAUUGUAAAGCCCUUUUGGCGGGGACGAUGAUGACGGUACCCGCAGAAUAAGCACCGGCUAACUACGUG